AUUGAACGCUGGCGGCAGGCCUAACACAUGCAAGUCGAGCGAGCGGCGGACGGGAGAGUAAUGUAUGGGCAUCUGCCUGAUGGCGGGGGAUAACUACUGGAAACGGUAGCUAAUACCGCAUACCAUCAGAUGAACCCAUAUGGGAUUAGCUUGUAGGUGAGGUAACGGCUCACCUAGGCGACGAUCCCUAGCUGGUCCGAGAGGAUGAUAAGCCACACUGGGACUGAGACACGGCCAAGACUCAUACGGGAGGCAGCAGUGGGGAAUAUUACACAAUGGGCGCAAGCCUGAUACAGACAGGCCGCGUGAAUGAAGAAGGCCUUCGGGUUGUAAAGUACUUUCAGUGGGGAGGCGUUACCGAAAGAGAAAGCAACGGCUAACUCCGUGCCAGCAGCCGCGGUAAUAC
rnacentral:rRNA from 1 species